ensembl:lncRNA
GGAACAACUAUCACUGCUCGGCCAUCCUGUGUUCAUCAGGCCAGUCAAUUUUGCAUUUUUGAGCAUGUCAAAUUUCAUAUGGUAAAUGCCCAUUGAACCAUAUUGCAAAUGCACGUGCACUUGCAAUAUGAUUGUAUAUGAAAAAAACAUCACCAAAUGGACAUGAUGAAAUCAACACAACGAGUGAUGGAAAGGAACAACUAUCACUGCCCGGCCAUCCUGUGUUCCCAUAGCGGGCAUUAAUAUCAGAAUUACCGGUAAAUGCAUUUUACAACCAUAUUUUUAUUUUUGGGUUACCAGGUGCCUAUUUUAAACAGUCCAUAAAGCACUCAGGACGGCCCCCGUGGAUAGAGGGCCGUAGUAGGGUACUCCCAUAGCGGGCAUGGACAAUAGGAGUCCCGGUAAAUGCAUUUACAACCAUAUUUUUAUUUUUGGGUUACCAGUUGCACAACAAUGCAUGUGCAUUUGCAAUAUGAUUCUAUAGUGAAAAAACAUCACCAAAUGGACAAGAUGAAAUCAACACAACGAGUGAUGGAAAGGAACAACUGUCACUGCCCGGCCAUCCUGUGUUCAUCAGGCCAGUCAAUUUUGCAUUUCUGCAGGAUUUUUGACCAUGCCAAAUUCGUGAUGGUACAUGCCCAUUGAAACAUAUUGCAAAUGCACUUGCACUUGCAAUAUGAUUCAACAGUGAA